rnacentral:rRNA from 1 species
GACGAACGCUGGCGGCGUGCCUAACACAUGCAAGUCGAGCGGGGACUUAAUCAUGAAGUUUUCGGAUGGAUUGGUUAAGUUCUAGCGGCGGACGGGUGAGUAACGCGUGAGCAACCUGCCUAUCACUGGGGAAUAACGCAUCGAAAGGUGUGCUAAUACCGCAUGAGACCACAGUAUCGCAUGGUACAGGGGUCAAAGAUUUAUUGGUGAUAGAUGGGCUCGCGUCUGAUUAGCUGGUUGGUGAGGUAACGGCCCACCAAGGCGACGAUCAGUAGCCGACCUGAGAGGGUGAUCGGCCACAUUGGAACUGAGAAACGGUCCAAACUCCUACGGGAGGCAGCAGUGGGGAAUAUUGGGCAAUGGGGGAAACCCUGACCCAGCAACGCCGCGUGAAGGAAGAAGGUCUUCGGGUCGUAAACUUCUAUCCUUGGUGAAGAUAAUGACGGUAGCCAAGAAGGAAGCCCCGGCUAACUACGUGCCAGCCGCCGCAGUAA